GAUGAACGCUAGCGACAGGCUUAACACAUGCAAGUCGAGGGGCAGCAUAAAAGUAGCAAUACUUUGGUGGCGACCGGCGCACGGGUGAGUAACGCGUAUGCAACCUACCUAUCAGAGGGGAAUAACCCGGCGAAAGUCGGACUAAUACCGCAUAAAACAGGGGCACCGCAUGGUGAUAUUUGUUAAAGAAAUUCGCUGAUAGAUGGGCAUGCGUUCCAUUAGGUAGUUGGUGAGGUAACGGCUCACCAAGCCGACGAUGGAUAGGGGAACUGAGAGGUUGGUCCCCCACACUGGUACCGAGACACGGACCAGACGCCUACGGGAGGCAGCAGUGAGGAAUAUUGGUCAAUGGGCGGGAGCCUGAACCAGCCAAGUCGCGUGAAGGAAGAAGGAUCUAUGGUUCGUAAACUUCUUUUGCAGGGGAAUAAAGUGCAGGACGUGUCCUGUUUUGUAUGUACCCUGAGAAUAAGGAUCGGCUAACUCCGUGCCAGCAGCCGCAGUAAUAC
rnacentral:rRNA from 1 species